UACGGAGGAUGCAAGCGUUAUCCGGAAUGAUUGGGCGUAAAGGGUCCUGAGGUGGCUGGCUUAGUCUACUGUGAAAGAUCAGGGCUUAACCCUGAACAGGCGGUGGAAACUAGCAAGCUAGAGUACGGUAGGGGCGGAGGGAAUUCUCGGUGGAGCGGUGAAAUGCGCAGAUAUCGGGAGGAACACCAAUGGCGAAGGCAGCUCGCUGGGACGGUACUGACGCUGAGACGCGAAAGCGUGGGGAGCAAACAGG
rnacentral:rRNA from 1 species